rnacentral:rRNA from 1 species
GAUGAACGCUGGCGGCGUGCCUAAUACAUGCAAGUCGAGCGAACAGAUGAGGAGCUUGCUCCUCUGACGUUAGCGGCGGACGGGUGAGUAACACGUGGAUAACCUACCUAUAAGACUGGGAUAACUUCGGGAAACCGGAGCUAAUACCGGAUAAUAUAUUGAACCGCAUGGUUCAAUAGUGAAAGACGGUUUUGCUGUCACUUAUAGAUGGAUCCGCGCCGCAUUAGCUAGUUGGUAAGGUAGCGGCUUACAAAGGCAACGAUGCGUAGCCGACCUGAGAGGGUGAUCGGCCACACUGGAACUGAGACACGGUCCAGACUCCUACGGGAGGCAGCAGUAGGGAAUCUUCCGCAAUGGGCGAAAGCCUGACGGAGCAACGCCGCGUGAGUGAUGAAGGUCUUCGGAUCGUAAAACUCUGUUAUUAGGGAAGAACAAAUGUGUAAGUAACUAUGCACGUCUUGACGGUACCUAAUCAGAAAGCCACGGCUAACUACGUG